rnacentral:sRNA from 1 species
UUUUAGCCCUGAUUGCAGCGGCAUCCUUUUGCAAAGCAAAAGAUACAGCGGAAAGCAGGUUCCCGG